rnacentral:misc_RNA from 1 species
GAUGAAGAACGUAGCGAAAUGCGAUAAGUAAUGUGAAUUGCAGAAUUCAGUGAAUCAUCGAAUCUUUGAACGCACCUUGCGCCCUUUGGCCAUUCCGAAGGGCAUGCCUGUUUGAGUAUCAUGAACACCUCAACUCUUCAUGGUUUUCCGUGAUGAGCUUGGACUUUGGGGGUCUUGCUGGCCUAUGGUCAGCUCCUCUAAAAUAAAUCAGCUUGCCAGUGUUUGGUGGGUAUCACAGGUGUGAUAACUAUCUACGCUUGUGGUUUUCCACCAGGUAACCUUCAGCAGUGGAGGUUCGCUGGAGCUCACAGAUGUGUCUCUCCUCAGUGAGGACAGCUCUUUGAAUGUUUGAUCUCAAAUCAGGUAGGACUACCCGCUGAACUUAAGCAUAUCAGUAAGCGGAGGA